rnacentral:rRNA from 1 species
GACGAAGGGGGCUAGCGUUGUUCGGAAUUACUGGGCGUAAAGCGCGUGUAGGCGGCUGGCCAAGUCGGGUGUGAAAGCCUUGAGCUCAACUCAAGAAAUGCACUCGGUACUGGGUGACUAGAGGACCGGAGAGGAUAGUGGAAUUCCCAGUGUAGUGGUGAAAUACGUAGAGAUUGGGAAGAACACCAGUGGCGAAGGCGGCUAUCUGGACGGUUUCUGACGCUAAGACGCGAAAGCGUGGGGAGCAAACAGG